UCUGUCGAACGUACCCCAACUGCUUCUUUUUUGUAUCAACUGCUGCUAGUGUUUCCUCGGUGCUUCAGUUAACUUCUUAGAUUCGGUAAUCAUCGUUUGGUCGAGCUCGUCGUUGAGUUCGUCGUUGAGUCCGGACAGAUUUAUUCCCAUUUGAGGUUCGUCGAAACAGUCCAUACAAUCUCCGGUAUAUAUUUUAGACUCAUGUUGUGGAAAGCUUCAACAUUGCCAAAUAAAUGAAGUUCGGAAUUAUAAUUAUGUCUUUUACUCGUUUAAAUCUAUUAGUUUAAAUUUCAGUUUUGUUUCGGUUGGUUAAUAUAGUAGCUUACAUUUGAUGUGAGAACUGUUAGUUAAUCAUCCCUUUGAAAUUCGCAUAAGCUUUGUAAUAAUGUUAUUUAUUUCAGAAUUUCAUUAAGUAUAGCUAUAUUCAAAUUAUAAGAUAGGGAACAUGGCAGAAAGCUAGCCAUUAAUUAAAUCUUAUGAUAUUGUUGGCUAAGUAUGAAAUAGUAUGGAAGUAUCAAGAAACUA